rnacentral:tRNA from 1 species
GGUGAAGUAGCUCAGUGGUAGAGCACUUGCCUGGCAUGCGUGGGACCCUGUGUUCAAUCCCCAGCACCA